rnacentral:antisense_RNA from 1 species
GGGUGUUUCCUUUUAAGGGAAAUUAAUCUGUGUUAAGAAAAAAAAAACCCAGUGAACAUUAAAACCCUGUGGUUUCCUCUUCUAAUUCCACUGGAAGAGGAGCCACUUCCCUGCCAAGAGGCAGCAGCAGAGUCCAGACCAG